rnacentral:rRNA from 1 species
UACGUAGGGUGCGAGCGUUGUCCGGAAUUAUUGGGCGUAAAGAGCUUGUAGGCGGUUUGUCGCGUCUGCUGUGAAAAUCCGGGGCUCAACCCCGGACUUGCAGUGGGUACGGGCAGACUGGAGUGUGGUAGGGGAGACUGGAAUUCCUGGUGUAGCGGUGGAAUGCGCAGAUAUCAGGAGGAACACCAAUGGCGAAGGCAGCACUCUGGGACGGUACUGACGCUGAGACGCGAAAGCGUGGGGAGCAAACAGG